rnacentral:RNase_P_RNA from 1 species
UCAGACGGUCGGGCGACCGCUGCCGACGGAAUGCGAAUUCCGGAGGUGGAGGAAAGUCCGGGCUCCACGGGAGGACGAUGCCGGCUAACGGCCGGCGGGGGCGACCCUAGGGAAAGUGCCACAGAAAACAAACCGCCUGCCCGGUCUCGGUUGCCUUUGGCCCAUCGGGAUUGCAGGCAAGGGUGAAACGGUGCGGUAAGAGCGCACCGCCCCGCUGGCAACAGCGGGGGCAUGGUAAACCCCAUCGGGAGCAAGACCGAAUAGGAACGGCGGACCGGCGCUUGUCGUGCGGUCAGGGGUUCUCCCGCCCUGUCGUUCGGGUUGGUCGCGUGAGGCUCGCCGCAAGGCGAGUCCCAGAGGAAUGGUCGCCUCGCCGGAAACGGCGGACAGAACCCGGCUUACAGACCGUCUGACAAU